rnacentral:lncRNA from 1 species
CGCGUGUCGCAGGGGGGGCGCGUGCGCGGGGAGGGGGAGGGGGACACGGGACGCACACGCGUGUCGGCGGGGACACGGCGCCGUGGGGGGGGGCGCGUCCCUGCCCUUAGCGUGUGCGGCCACACGCGUGUGCGGGUCCCGGUCGCAUGUGCGCACGCGUGUGUUGGUGCGUGUGCGUGUCCUGGUCACAUGUGCGUGUGUCCCAGUCACGUGUGCGUGUGUCCCGGUCGCGUGUGCACACGCGUGUCGGUGCGUGUGCGCGUCCUGGUUGUGCAUGCACACGCGUGUGCACGUCCUGCUCGCGUGUGCGCGUGUCCCGG